UUUUAUUAGAAUUUUGAUUAAAUGUUAUGCUUUAUCAAUCAUAUUAAAGUGUAUGUUUAAACCUCAUCAGAAACCUAUUUCGAUAGGGCAUUUUGUUCUAAUUUCUCAAAAUUUAUUAAACUAAGGGCUAUCCCCUCGUUGCCCUUCCUAUGGAUAAAAAAAGCUCUCCCCUGUGCUAUUGUAUGCCCUGUAUAUCUUUAUGCUAUUGUGCUACUGGCAUAGACCUUAUAUAUAACCUUAGAGACACUUAAGUGUGUAUCCUAAUCCAUUAGACUUAUUCAAAGAAAUCUCCUAUGUCACUUCCAAUCUCAAAGACCGUUGUCAA